rnacentral:ncRNA from 1 species
UGUCUUCGGGGCAGGGUGAAAUUCGCGAUUGGCGGUAAAGUCCGCGAGCGCAAAAGCGCACGAUUUGGUGCAAUUCCAAAACCAACAGUAUAGUCUGGAUAAAAGAAGAU